AGGACUAACGCUGGCGGCGUGCCUAACACAUGCAAGUCGAACGAGGUAGCAAUACCUAGUGGCAGACGGGUGAGUAACGCGUGGUCAACCUACCUCUUAGUGGGGGAUAACUAGCCGAAAGGUUAGCUAAUACCGCAUACGAUCGUCGCGAGGCAUCUCGUGACGAUGAAAGGAGCAAUUCGCUAAGAGAGGGGACUGCGUCCCAUUAGUUAGUUGGUGGGGUAAUGGCCUACCAAGACUCCGAUGGGUAGCUGGCUUGAGAGAGCGACCAGCCACACUGGAACUGAGACACGGUCCAGACUCCUACGGGAGGCAGCAGUGAGGAAUUUUCCGCAAUGGGCGCAAGCCUGACGGAGCGACGCCGCGUGUGGGAAGAAGGCCUUCGGGUCGUAACCACUGUCGAGGGGACGAUAUUGACGGUACCCUUGGAGGAGGCCCCGGCGUAACUACGUGCCAGCAGCCGC
rnacentral:rRNA from 1 species